UACGUAGGGGGCAAGCGUUGUCCGGAAUCAUUGGGCGUAAAGAGCGCGUAGGCGGUCCGGUAAGUCCGCUCUGAAAGUCCGGGGCUCAACCCCGGGAGGCGGGCGGAUACUGUCGGGCUAGAGUCCGGAAGAGGCGAGUGGAAUUCCUGGUGUAGCGGUGAAAUGCGCAGAUAUCAGGAGGAACACCAAUGGCGAAGGCAGCUCGCUGGGACGGUACUGACGCUGAGGAGCGAAAGUGUGGGGAGCGAACAGG
rnacentral:rRNA from 1 species